rnacentral:tRNA from 1 species
GGAGAGAUGGUUCAAUGAUUAAGAAUGUUGACUUUUCUUACAGAGUACCUGGGUUCGAUUCCCAGCUAUCUUCA